rnacentral:rRNA from 1 species
GAGUUUGAUCCUGGCUCAGGAUCAACGCUGGCGGCGUGCCUAAUGCAUGCAAGUCGCACGGGGUCAUCUUCGGAUGGCUUACGUGGCGGACGGGUGAGGAACACGUGGGUAAUCUGCCCGGUGGUGGGGGCUAGCCCUCGGAAACGAGGGGUAAUUCCGCAUACGGUCGCAUCUCGAGUGGGGGGUGUGACGAAAGCCGCAAGGCGCCGCCGGAGGAGCCCGCGUCCGAUUAGCUUGUUGGUGGGGUAACGGCUCACCAAGGCGAUGAUCGGUCGCUGGUCUGAGAGGAUGAUCAGCCACACGGGGACUGAGACACGGCCCCGACUCCUACGGGAGGCAGCAGCAAGGAAUUUUCCGCAAUGGGCGCAAGCCUGACGGAGCAACGCCGCGUGCGGGAUGACGCUUUUCGGAGUGUAAACCGCUGUUCCCAGGGACGAAGCACUGACGGUACCUGGGGAGGAAGGCCCGGCUAACUACGUG